rnacentral:rRNA from 1 species
UACGGAGGAUGCGAGCGUUAUCCGGAUUUAUUGGGUUUAAAGGGUGCGUAGGCGGACUGUCAAGUCAGCGGUAAAAUACGGGGGCUCAACCUCCGCCCGCCGUUGAAACUGACGGUCUUGAGUGGGCGAGAAGUAUGCGGAAUGCGUGGUGUAGCGGUGAAAUGCAUAGAUAUCGCGCAGAACUCCGAUUGCGAAGGCAGCAUGCCGGCUCCACACUGACGCUGAGGCACGAAAGCGUGGGGAGCAAAUAGG